AUUCCAGCUCCAAUAGCGUAUAUUAAAGUUGUUGCGGUUAAAAAGCUCGUAGCUGGAUUUCUGCCAGGAAGGAGCGGUCCACCCAUUGGGCGCGUACGGCUACCUUUGUUGCAUCUUUCUGAGGACGUGUUCUUCACUUAAUUGUGAGGGCGCAGGACUCAGGACAUUUACUUUGAGGAAAUGAGAGUGUUUCAAGCAGGCAAAUGCCUUGAAUACGUUAGCAUGGAAUAAUAGCAUCGGACCAUCGUCCAGCUGUUGGUGUCUGGGCGAAGGUAAAGGUGAAUAGGGAUUGUUGGGGGCAUUCGUAUUUAACUGUCAGAGGUGAAAUUCUUGGAUUUGUUGAAGACGGACCACUGCGAAAGCAUCUGCCAAAGAUGUUCUCAUCA
rnacentral:rRNA from 1 species